GGGGGUGUCAAGGUUUCGACGGGGGUAAUAAGCAAAGGUUGCAUGCCGAGAUCCGGGUGGCUCGUUAAACAAUCCGGGGCGAAUUAAACGCCGAUAAUUACGAAUACGCUUUAGCAGCUUAAUAACCUGCUAACGAUUUGCCGACCCUCUCCCACGGGGAAGGACAAAUCGUCAUUUUAGUGGGAUAGCCGAGGGGAGUGCCUGUGACCCAGAGCGAAAUUGAAGCAGGAUCGCCAACUGAAUAUCCCGGCCAGUGGAGCUUCACGCGGUUAAAUCAAAUACUGGUAUAAGCAUGUAGACGCCUUCUGUGGAUGAUCUUCGGACGCGGGUUCGAUUCCCGCCACCUCCACCA
rnacentral:tmRNA from 1 species